rnacentral:rRNA from 1 species
GCUUACGGCCAUAUCACCCUGAGGAUGCCUAAUCUCAUCUGAUCUUAGACGCUAAGCAGGRUCACACCUUUUUUCUUGAAAAGCAGCUGGGUGAU